rnacentral:hammerhead_ribozyme from 1 species
GUUCAGCUGACGAGUCCUAAUUAGGACGAAACUCACGUUCUGAAU